rnacentral:tRNA from 1 species
GGAGAUGUUAACUUAAAUUAAAGUGUUAGAUUUUUAAUCUAAAAAUGUUUUUCACGUCUUGG